UGCUGAUUAUUACUCAGCUGAAUACUUGAACUGAAGAUCUCUGAAAUUCUCUCUCUUUGCAGCUCUCUCUUUUCCAGUACUCCAUUCAGUGAACUAUAGCCACAUUGAUGUUUCUGGACUCUCAGCUUCAUCUUCUCAAUUCAGGGAAUCAACCAAGCUCAGCCUGGGCCAUCCCCCCAAACCCCUGUGCCACAGCCUGGAAACUCCUUCAAGGCAAUAAUCUGAGGCAAUCACUGGCUCAUCUCAACUGUUUCCCAUCUCUCAGGGAUCACGAUCCUUUGUUUCCUGUCAUCCAAUGUCUUGAAAACCAUUGCUUAAUGUAUAAUGUCCAUUUUAAAAUUUUUCAAGUAGUAGGUAAAUCCAGGCCCUAUUACUCCAUCUUGGUCAGAAGCAGAAGUCUCACAAUACUUUUAAAACAUGAACUGACCUACAAGCUUCCCAAAGAUUUGCCUAUACUUGUAGGUAAAAAUCCUCCUCCUCCUCCCUGUCGACCAGCCCACUUCAGAUUACUUCUGGAGAGAUCAGUCCCUUACAGUAAUCUAUGUAACACAUUAUAGCUAACAUCGUAAUUUCACAUAUUGAGAUAACAUGGUUUUCUUUGGGGUAAAAAGGUGACUUGUGUCAUACAGCUAGUAAGAAAUUCAUCUUCACAUGAAAAACCCACAGAAAAAAAUUUUGGGUCAACCAUUUUUUGGAUAGAUCCAAAUCCCAUGUAACAACCACCAUCUAAUCUAGGGCUUUAAAAUAAGCACUUCAUUUUGAAUUUACUCACUGUGGUGGACACUGGUACUGCUUGUCUCUACCAGGCUGAUAUCAUACUGGAUCGAACUGGCCCUCUGAAGGUGGCCCUUCCUGACAGUAAAGAGGAAAGAAACACACAAAUGGAAAAUGGGACAAAACUGGACAAAUCAUUUGAUCAACCAAGGCCUCCCACGGACUAUCGUUUCUGAGAAUGACUCUCUUUGAAUUAGAAUCAAAACAUGCCAUGGCAUACGACCCGGCAAUCCCACUACUGGGCAUAUACCCCGAGAAAACCAUAAUUCAAAAAGAGUCAUGUACCACAAUGUUCACUGCAGCUCUAUUUACAACAGCCAAGACAUGGAAGCAACCUAAGCAUCCGUCAACAAAUGACUGGACCAAGAAGAUGUGGCACAUAUAUACAAUGGAAUAUUAGUCAUAAAACGAAACGAAAUUGAGUUAUUUGUAAUGAGGUGGAUGGACCUAGAGUCUGUCAUACAGAAUGAAGUAAGUCAGAAAGAGAAAAACAAAUACCAUAUGCUAACACAUAUAUAUGGAAUUUAAAAAAUAAAUAAAUAAAAAAUAAAGACGCAGAUGUAGAAAAUGGACUUGAGGACACAGGGAGGGGGAAGGGUA